ensembl:lncRNA
ACAUGGUUCUGGGAGCAAUAUUGGUGGAAAGAAGUUAAAAUUUUGAAAUACUUCAGUGAUGUGAUCAGCAGACAGUAGUGGGAAAGUAUUUCUCCUAAACUUGACUGGUGAUCAAAAUAAGGAAGGAAGAUCUGAAAGAGCAGAAAAUAUUUUUGUUAAUCAGGAUAUGGCACUUUCCAACAUCUGGAUGUCAAAACACUUGCUUUGAAUUCAAUACUAUUAACAUGUGUCAUUUAAAUGAAUUUUUUUCUCCAGAGCCAAUUGGGUGGCUACGAUUCUUGGCAAGGUUUUUGCAGUUUGUUGCUUACAUUACCUGACCCGUGGUCUGUUUGUCUUACGAUCUCUGUGGGAAAAAACAGCAAGAGACAUCAACCCCCACCCUGCCUACCCGAAAAAAAGCAAUGCCACAAAGCUCUGAAAAUAGAUCAGAACCCAGAAACAAAGUUCUAGGAUGAAGUCUCAUCCUUCCACUGAACCAUUUUGACCAGAAGGUAACCUCAUGGGAUUUCUGCUGUUUUUGCCUGUGACAUCAUGUAACAUCAAAUGAGAAAGCAUCUGAUUCUUCUGAAUAUCAACGAGACAUGAUUAAACUGAAUACAACAGCUUGGGAAUCCAGGAAAAAAAAGUUUGAAUAAAAGGUCAGAGAAAGAUCAGGCAUCAGCUCUGGCUCUUCGCAAAAUGAUAAAACUAACAGGGAAUGACUCAGCUAGCCCUGAUGAAAAAGCUCCUUUCUUUGCAGUGUAAACAACACAGUCUGUGUUCUUGAAAUCCCAGACUGAAACAUCAACCAGCACUGGAAAAUACGAUACCCCAGAAUGCCUUCCCUGUCCUGGGCAUAGCCUGUCACCAGUAUUUCAGGGGAUCUUAUUCACUGCGACUGGGACUAACUACUCAGAAGAGACUUCUGCAUGAGUAAAAGGGAAAAAAGCUUGUGUGUGGACUGACCUCAAGAGUGUGAAGCAAAUAUUUUGUUUCAAAUCAACUUUUGACCCAUUUCUGAAGUAAAUUGAGUGACCAGUAAUUGAAACCAGCAAAAAAAAAAAAAGAGAGAAAAAGAAAAAGGAGAUGUUGAAAACCAUUUGAAUAAGUACUGCACUAAUGGACCAAUGGUAUUUUCCAUUCAACAAGUAGCAGAGCUGCAAGAGGAGAAGGAAUACGAAGUGCUGGGGCAAAGGAAGUACAGCCAUCUCCUCCCUGCUGCAUUGGAUGUGGAGCAAAGAAGCCACCUCGUACUGAAUGACCGUGCAAGGCCGGAAUGCAAGUCAAAGUGCCAUCCCAUAUUUACUUCCAGCUCAGUUGCAUUCCAGCAGUGGACAGCACACUCUGCCCAUAUGCAUGAAGCUUACCAGAAGCCAGACAUCUCCCAGGACAAUGGCAUGUUUGUCCCAUGCAGGAUCGCAGUCUAUGUGCAAGGUCUGUGAUGUCCUGUCUCUGAACAAUAGCCAGAACUGUGACUAUACUCUUUGCAGUCAAAGUCUUUUAGCUGUAUUAUUAAAGUUUUAUUAAUAAUAAUAAUAAUUAAAAAAUCAUCUAAUUAAUGUCAGAUAUCUGCAAAAUAUGGAUUGCAUACAUGUGAGUAGAUUGGCUUCUCUGUCCAUAAUGUAACUUAGUAUUUAUGCUUGCAAAGCUGCGUGAGAGUAAUCUUUGAUCCAUGGGUGGCAUUCUGUAUCCAAACUUGCAAUACAAAUAAUAUUUAUAUUUUCAGUCAAGUCAUUUAUGACUAUCUGACAUUAAAGGAAAGCCAACAAGAUAAUAGUUUAAAAAAGUAACAUUCACAACUUUUUUUUUCCCCCUAGAAAUUGCAUUCAUGUUGCCAGGCUCUCUUUCAAACAGAUUGUUUUGUGAGUUCUAAAACCUAGCAGCUAAUUUCUUACAUAUUCAUAGUACAAAACAACAUACACUUUAU